GGUGGCUCAGUGGUAGAGCGCUGGCCAUGCAUGCCUGAGGCCCUGGGUUCGAUUCCUUAGCACCA
rfam:Dipodomys ordii contig_41701, whole genome shotgun sequence.